GCACUUUGAGUGAUCAGAUGCACCAUUUUCAACCAUAAAACACAGGUUUAGGAUCCUACAGAUGCACAUUAUGGGAGGAACACAAGUCAUAUCUACAGACCAGAGGUUACCCAGAAUGCAUCAUGCUGAGGUUGUCUGCAGUGAAUGAGCAGUGUGUGUUUGCAGCCACACACAGACAUCCAUUAAACGAUUCAGCGAUUAAACCUCAACACGCUCUGAAUCUCAAUAACGUUACUCGAUGAAGAUCAGAGGCGGAGUUUCCCUGAUGCAUCACAUCAGAAGCGACU